rnacentral:lncRNA from 1 species
GAGUGCCUGAGAAUAAUGCCGAAGACUUAACAACCUGCAAAUGUGGACCCAUGGUUUGUGCAUUGACUAGAGCAGGAGAAACAGUUUGCAUGCUAGUAGCUGAGCCAGUUGAAGGGAUCCCUGAAGCAGUGGAAGGCGGCAAGGUUUGUGCAUUGCCUACAGCAGGUGAAACAGUUUGCAUACUAGAAGCUGAGCCAGUUGGAGGGAUCCCUGAAGCAGUGGAAGGCUGCAAGGUUUGUGCAUUGACUGCAGCAAGUGAAACAGUUUGCAUAGUAGAAGUUGAGCUACUUGAAGGGAUCCCUGAAGCAGUAGAACGCUGCAAAGUUUGUGCAUUGACUACAGCAGGUGAAACAGUUUGCAUAGUAGAAGUUGAGCCAGUUGAAGGGAUCCCUGAAGCAGUAGAACGCUGCAAGGUUUGUGCAUUGACUACAGCAGGUGAAACAGUUUGCAUAGUAGAAGCUGAGCCAGUUGAAGGAAUCCCUGAAGCAGUAGAAAGCUGCAAUGUUUGCGCAUUGACUACAGCAG